rnacentral:rRNA from 1 species
AUGGGGAAACAGUCGUCGGGCUUGAACAAGCGCUGGAUAGCACCACCGGUUGACUUGAUGAAGCUAAAUGUCGAUGGGGGAGUGGCGAAAGUACAGAACAAAGGAGCAGCAGCGGUGGUAUGUCAAAAUGCAGAUGGAGUGUACCAAGGAUCGCCAGCUCGUGUUUAUGAUGAUAUAACAGAUCCUCGGAUGCUUGAGGCUCUUGCUUGCUACGAAGCUAUGGCCCUAGCUAAAGACCUCAACAUUCAAAAGUUGCGGAUUGCAUCUAAUGCUUCUGUUGUGAUCUAG